CACACCUACCGCUUUUUUCCAUUAAAAUGUUAGGCAAAGCAGCUCUCUCGAGUCGCUCGCCUUUUCUACUCACUUCUAGAGGAUUUCACAAGCCAAAGUUUGGGUCGCGCUACUGGACUUUUCUACCUAUAUACUGUGUUUUAGUCUUUGACAAUGUUAUAUAUGUUAGAGAGAUGAAAGGAGAACCUUUUAAAG